rnacentral:rRNA from 1 species
GACGAAGGAUGCAAGCGUUAUCCGGAUUCAUUGGGUUUAAAGGGUGCGUAGGCGGUCUUGUAAGUCAGUGGUGAAAUCUCGCAGCUUAACUGCGAAACUGCCAUUGAUACUGCAGGACUUGAGUACAGAUGCUGUGGGCGGAAUAUGACAUGUAGUGGUGAAAUACAUAGAGAUGUCAUAGAACACCGAUUGCGAAGGCAGC